rnacentral:tRNA from 1 species
UAGCUCAGUGGUAGAGCGCUUGCCUAGCAAGCGCAAGGCCCUGGGUUCAGUUCCCAG